AAGUGUUGCACCUCUUUUAAAAUUUGUCCAGCAAGUUUUCUAGCAUUUGCUAAAAAAUCCCU
ensembl:snRNA U7 U7 small nuclear RNA